rnacentral:rRNA from 1 species
UUGCAGUCGAACGGUAACAGGAAAUAGCUUGCUAUUUUGCUGACGAGUGCUGAACGGGUGCGUAACGCGUAUACAAUCUACCUUUUGCUGAGGGCUAGCCCAGAGAAAUUUGGAUUAAUACCUCAUGGUAUUAUUGAUAGGCAUCUAUUAAUAAUUAAAGGUUACGGCAAAAGAUGAGUAUGCGUCCCAUUAGCUAGUUGGUGAAGUAACGGUUCACCAAGGCAACGAUGGGUAGGGGUCCUGAGAGGGAGAUCCCCCACACUGGUACUGAGACACGGACCAGACUCCUACGGGAGGCAGCAGUGAGGAAUAUUGGACAAUGGGCGAGAGCCUGAUCCAGCCAUGCCGCGUGCAGGAAGACUGCCCUAUGGGUUGUAAACUGCUUUUAUACAGGAAGAAUAAGCCUUACGUGUAAGGUGAUGACGGUACUGUAAGAAUAAGGACCGGCUAACUCCGUGCCAGCAGCCGCGGUAAUACGGAGGGUCCGAGCGUUAUCCGGAAUUAUUGGGUUUAAAGGGUCCGUAGGCGGAUGAUUAAGUCAGGGGUGAAAGUUUGCAGCUCAACUGUAAAAUUGCCUUUGAUACUGGUCAUCCUGAGUUGUAUUG